GGUCAUCAACCUGAUGUCCCCUUCUUUCAUGCUAUGUCUGGAGUGCUGUGCCAAGGGAUUGACAAACUGAGGAAGUUCAGCAAAGGGUGACCAGGAAUGAAUGGUACAGUGAACAAAAGACAAUUAUCACAGUCCCAAAAUACAACUGCCUCAUAAGGCAAAAGGAAGCCACUGAAAACUUUGGAGCAGGAGAACAACAUGGUCAGACCUGUUCAUUAGGAAGUUUAUUUUGGCAGCUUUAUGAAAGCUACACGGGAGAGAAUAGAGCCUAAGAGCAGAGAGAUGAGUUUGGAAGCUUUUAAAGUAAUCAAUCAGUCAGUCAACUAGCAUAUAUACCAAGUAUCUACUUAAUUAAUAAAGUCAUUUUAUGGGUAAAAACA